UCCUCAUUGGCCCUCAUCUCCUUCUCGUCCAGCAGACGGGGAGCUUGGUAUUCACCUUCCUUCCGGAUGAGCUACAAAGACAGAAAAGGGUCCUAACCAGGGGUGGACAGCUCAUUCCAGAUGGGAGGAUCAUGUGACUCUGAGGACCACGGUCAGGUCCGUCUCUCUGUGGUGGUGCAUGACCAAGUGGGGCCAUCAUUUUUUUGGGUGGAGCGGCCAUGGAGCUGGCCUGCAUCAGGGCCAUGCUGGAGAGGACAGCUUCGCAGCCGAGCAGCCCCGCCUGUGAAGACAGAGAAUGCAGAACAACACUUCAUCAACUAAAUCAAAGUUUUAGAAAAUAUCUACAAUGUAAAAUUAUCUGCAUCUCAGACAUCAUGGCAUUCGCCAUGCUAGCCUUCAACGACAACAUCCUGAGUGACACAAGACUGCAAGUAAAGUUAUUUGUAACCACUUUGGUGGUCUCAAAAAAAACAAACCCAUUUCAUAUGGUCGCGGACUGAGCUGCUGGGCAGAUGUGACAUUGCUGUGGUGUAUGUGAGCGCAGGGACAGGGGUGGGGACAAGGUCAUCCAGAGAUCCGUCAGUCAGGAUGGUCGGGCUGGUGGGAAGCCACACCCACCUCACUCAUCUAGCAUUAAAACUGAGGAAGAGGAGGAUGUGGAUGAAACAGACAAACAUUAAAAUUACCACACCAUCA